GCAGGAACCAAGAAGAGAAUGGAAUAACUGGGAAUUCAAACCCUGCCAGGGAAGAAGACUAUAAGAUUUCCAAAAUGAUUCAAAAUAAAAUAAACGUAGCAAAGAGAAAGAGCAGUCAGGGAGAGGUUGCUGAGCUCAGCGGAACUGAAAGCUUGGACUGUAUUUGCUUCAAUGCAAGAUGUAUAACAGGAAUACACAAGAGAAAGUGUUUAGAAAAAACAAUUGCAACCCAGGUCUUGUUUUGCAUGUCUGGUGUCCUGGUUUGAGAUUGAUGUGUACUUUGGAGGUUACUGCUGGAAAACAUCAUGACUGGAGAAGAAGAUUCAUCUGAGGGCAGUUGUAUUCCAGGGAAAGUAGAAAAAUCUCCUUUCCAAGGGAAAAGGAAAGAGAAAAUACUUCACAGCUGAAACCACAGAUCAAAGGUACAGAACUCAGCCUGAAACCUCAACCAGUCCAAUCAAGUCGAUGUAAAGUUUAUUGAGAGUGAGCUGCAGAAUGUAAGUCCAGACACCCCAGAGGAGGCAAGAAUUCCAUUAUCACCCACUGGUCUCCUACAAAUCAAAUUUGUGAAGCUAUCCAAAUCCAGAACAUGGAUUAUAGAACUGGCAGUAAAUGGGUAAAACUUGGAAAGGUGACAUAGUAUAGGGAACAUGUCCAGGCUGUC